rnacentral:rRNA from 1 species
GGCUCCUUGAACUUUAAAAAUAGGGAGUCGGACCUGCCCGGUGAAUUUUUUAACGGCCGCGGUACUCUGACCGUGCAAAGGUAGCAUAAUCAUUUGCCUUAUAAUUGAAGGCUUGUAUGAAUGGUUUGACAAGAAUGAAGCUGUCUCUUUAUAAUUGCUUAGAAUUUUAUUUAUAGGUGAAGAAGCCUAUAUUGCAGUGAUAGACAAGAAGACCCUAUCGAGCUUAAAAGAAAUUAGUAAAAUCAAAGUUAAUAUUAAUUAGAAAAUUAGUUACUAAAAAUUUUGGUUGGGGCGACAGAGGAACAAACGAAGCUUCCUUUUAAUAAUAAGUAACAAACAAGUAAUGAUCCAAAAAUUUUGAUUAAAGAAAUUAGUUACCGUAGGGAUAACAGCAUUAUCUUUUUUGAGAGUUCUAAUCGAAAAAAAGGUUUGUGACCUCGAUGUUGGACCAGAAUAUCCUAAAGAUGCAGCCGUCUUUAAGGGUUGGUCUGUUCGACCAUUAAAAUUCUACGUGAUCUGAGUUCAGACCGGCGUGAGCCAGGUCAGUUUCUAUCUUCACUUUUUAAAGUAAACUUAGUACGAAAGGACCAGUUUAUAACAAAUGAAUUGUUUUUAAUGACAGCGUAUAAAGAAGAAUUAAGUGGAUAAAAGUUAUAAAGUUAAAACAGAUAUCAAAUUAGCAAAGAUUAAUGCAAUUGACUUAGGAUCAAUAGACAUAGGUGAAAUCCCUUUAUUUGAUAUUAUAUUUAAAUCACUUUAAAUAAAGAUGGCAGAUAAA